GCGGUUGUGGUGAAGCUGGUUAACACAACGGAUUGUGGCUCCGUCAUGCGCCCGUUCGAAUCGGGUCAGCCGCCCCA
rnacentral:tRNA from 1 species